CAAAUGCUCCCCGCACUCCUCCUGGGGCUGGAAAGGGUUCGUUUAACCUCCGGCUUGCUAGUAAAGCUGAACUGCUAUGUCGUGGAAUGAUGCACGUCCAAAAAGUGUGUCCCCAACGUGAAAAGUUUGGAAAGCUCUGCACUAAGGAAAUACUUUGGCCAUACUCAAAAAGGGAAGUUCUGAGAGGCAGGUGGUGCCAAACAGACAAGAGAAAUAACCCUGAAGUGGUCACCAGGCUUUUGUUGUUCAGAGCUGCAGCAGUGCUGAAGUGACUCUCCUAUGAGCUAGGAAGCCCAUGGAUCAAACAGCACUUCAGCCAAGAAGUCAAAAGGUGGCUUUAGGCAAGCAGCCAGAGUCUCUCUUCUGUAAGUUGGGGAUGUGCACACUGGCCUACCUUACAGGGUUAUGGGAAAGGACCACCAAGACCUUGUCACAUGAAACUUGAAGCACAGAAGUGGAGGAAGCUGCCCAAUACAAAAUCAGCCUUAUCAAACUCAGUAUUGUCUACACUGACUGCCAGCAGUUCCAGGGGGGGUGGCUCAGGCAAUUGACAUUCAUUCCCAGUCUUACUUGCUCAGCCACUGAGCUAGGGACCUUCCUGCCCAGGAGUGUAGUGGGGUGUGUGUGUGUGCCAAAAACCCUGCCAAAACUGAAAUGAGGAUUCACUGUUUGGAGGUUAAUUUUUGCCCAACCCAAACCCAUGCCCCAGAAAUGCUUUCCUUCCCACACCUGUGAUUUGGCCUCUUCCGUUCUCGUUCACAGCAAUGCCAGCAGCAAGGCCUUGGAAGAUGUGGUUCCCACUGGAAUGAAAAGGGGUGAAGACACUGUCAGUGUUUUGUACAGUUUGCUUAUUUGUAUAACAGCACAAGACUUCAUUCGCUGCAUCAUAAUCACCAGACAAGACAGCUGCCUAUUUAGAAAUUGCUACUUAUUUGACAGGUCUGUUUCAGCCCAGUCGUGACCCUUAUGGUUUGCAGAUUAAUAAAAUCUGUUUCACACUU